AGAAGAUGACGACCAUGCAUGCAGAGCAGGCCUGGCUCAUGUUUUUUACAGACCCUGUGCAAUUUUAUUUUUAUUUUUACAAGACCAAUAAAAAUAAUUGGUAAAUAGGACCCUUAAAUCUGUAAGAAGAAGACCCUAAAUUCUUGCUAAAAAUUUCUAAUUUUUUUGAGACCCUGUGCAUAAGCACCUUGUGCACAUGCCAAGGGCCGGCACUGAUGCAGAGAAGGAAAACCUCUGGUGGUGGAUCUAAUAAGAAUAGAAGCUAAGAAGAAUAGAAGCUAAGAAGCCCUGGUGGUGGAUCGAAGCUGAGGAGAUCCAGAAGAAGAAUAUAACCCACCUGAAAUAAGGAGUUAGAGACUUAGAGUGUUAGAACCGAAAAAAUAUAAAUCCACAACAAACCAUGUUUGCACUUUCUUUACCUGUGACAUGCAUGCAGUCACCGUCGAUGAAGAACACAUCGUCGGAGCUGGAUCUUCGUCUUUGGUUGAGUGUGAGUUCGGAGACUUUUUCCGGUGGCUUAAAGAAGCUCCACUCUUGGAGAUAGAAGACACAUGAGAGUCCAGAAGU
rnacentral:lncRNA from 1 species